rnacentral:rRNA from 1 species
AGCUAGUUGGUGAGGUAACGGCCCACCAAGGCGACGAUCGGUAGCCGGACUGAGAGGUUGAACGGCCACAUUGGGACUGAGACACGGCCCAGACUCCUACGGGAGGCAGCAGUGGGGAAUAUUGCACAAUGGGGGAAACCCUGAUGCAGCGACGCCGCGUGGAGGAAGAAGGUCUUCGGAUUGUAAACUCCUGUUGUUGGGGAAGAUAAUGACGGUACCCAACAAGGAAGUGACGGCUAACUACGUGCCAGCAGCCGCGGUAAAACGUAGGUCACAAGCGUUGUCCGGAAUUACUGGGUGUAAAGGGAGCGCAGGCGGGAAGACAAGUUGGAAGUGAAAUCCAUGGGCUCAACCCAUGAACUGCUUUCAAAACUGUUUUUCUUGAGUAGUGCAGAGGUAGGCGGAAUUCCCGGUGUAGCGGUGGAAUGCGUAGAUAUCGGGAGGAACACCGGUGGCGAAGGCGGCCUACUGGGCACCAACUGACGCUGAGGCUCGAAAGUGUGGGUAGCAAACAGGAUUAGAUACCCUGGUAGUCCACACCGUAAACGAUGAUUACUUGGUGUUGGAGGAUUGACCCCUUCAGUGCCGCAGUUAACACAAUAAGUAAUCCACCUGGGGAGUACGACCGCAAGGUUGAAACUCAAAGGAAUUGACGGGGGCCCGCACAAGCAGUGGAGUAUGUGGUUUAAUUCGACGCAACGCGAAGAACCUUACCAAGUCUUGACAUCCGUUGACCGCUGUAGAAAUACAGUUUUCCUUCGGGACAGCGAGACAGGUGGUGCAUGGUUGUCGUCAGCUCGUGUCGUGAGAUGUUGGGUUAAGUCCCGCAACGAGCGCAACCCUUAUGGUCAGUUACUACGCAAGAGGACUCUGGCCAGACUGCCGUUGACAAAACGGAGGAAGGUGGGGAUGACGUCAAAUCAUCAUGCCCUUUAUGACUUGGGCUACACACGUACUACAAUGGCGUUAAACAAAGAGAAGCAAGACCGCGAGGUGGAGCAAAACUCAGAAACAACGUCCCAGUUCGGACUGCAGGCUGCAACUCGCCUGCACGAAGUCGGAAUUGCUAGUAAUCGUGGAUCAGCAUGCCACGGUGAAUACGUUCCCGGGCCUUGUACACACCGCCCGUCACACCAUGAGAGCCGGGGGGACCCGAAGUCGGUAGUCUAACCGCAAGGAGGACGCCGCCGAAGGUAAAACUGGUGAUUGGGGUGAAGUCGUAACAAGGUAGCCGUAGGAGAACCUGCGGCUG